UUCUUCUUCUUUUUCUUCCUUUUCUUUAUUUUGCUCUUUAGUGCAUAGAGAUUCAAAUACCUGCAAAAACAACACGAAUACUUGCGCAAUAAUCGGGAUAUUAAUCAAAAUGGUGUGAUCUUUGAGUGUAAAUUAAGACAAUUAUCUGAUGUGUUUUCGCCUUAUCAAACUCCCCUAAACUUGAAUCUUUGCUUAUCCUCAAG
rnacentral:lncRNA from 1 species